UUUUAGUGCCAGUGGCAAUGGGAACAGCACGCAGCGAUUUGUGUCUCUGAAGCCCAGCUGGAACGUGGCACCAGAUCCAGCCCCGGCCUGUUCUUGUGGGGAAGGAGAGACGAUGAUGUCAGGACUAGUACUAGGAAUUCAUGUUGGAGUGGCCUGUAUUGUCUUCUGCCUCCUCUUGCUCUUCGUAGUGCAUUGGAAGAGCCUCUUGUGCAAGACAAAAGCCAACUGGGCUAUUAGCCAUGUUGUGGAGAACAAGCAGAAUCCGAGUGUAAC